rnacentral:rRNA from 1 species
AUUGAACGCUGGCGGCAUGCCUUACACAUGCAAGUCGAACGGCAGCACGGGUGCUUGCACCUGGUGGCGAGUGGCGAACGGGUGAGUAAUACAUCGGAACAUGUCCUGUAGUGGGGGAUAGCCCGGCGAAAGCCGGAUUAAUACCGCAUACGAUCUACGGAUGAAAGCGGGGGACCUUCGGGCCUCGCGCUAUCGGGUUGGCCGAUGGCUGAUUAGCUAGUUGGUGGGGUAAAGGCCUACCAAGGCGACGAUCAGUAGCUGGUCUGAGAGGACGACCAGCCACACUGGGACUGAGACACGGCCCAGACUCCUACGGGAGGCAGCAGUGGGGAAUUUUGGACAAUGGGCGAAAGCCUGAUCCAGCAAUGCCGCAUGUGUGAAGAAGGCCUUCGGGUUGUAAAGCACUUUUGUCCGGAAAGAAAUCCUUGGCCCUAAUACGGUCGGGGGAUGACGGUACCGGAAGAAUAAGCACCGGCUAACUACGUG